UGCGACUCGAGCGCCAGCGAGAAAGCGUUGCCGCAGGCAACGACCCGAAGGGUGAAGCGCGCAGCGCUGAGUAAUCCUUCCCCCACCACCA
rnacentral:sRNA from 1 species